AUGCCAUCUCUCUGGGAACCACCUUCAAAGGUGGUGGUUUUGGCAGCCACAAAUUGUGGCCAUCCUGCUAUCCACAGGCUCUCUACAGCUGUGCCUAAUGGAGAUGAGGAGUUGGAGGUGGAAGAACAAAAGUUUGAAUUGAUGAAAAGGACAUAUGAUUAUACUAUCUAUUUAUGCUACUUAAGUUUUUUCACUUGGCAAUAUUUCUUGACAUUUUCGGUUUAG